rnacentral:tRNA from 1 species
GGCCCGUUAGCUCAUAGCUGGUUAGAGCGUCGUGCUAUAAACGCGAAGGUCGCGGGUUCGAUCCCCACGGGCCA